rnacentral:lncRNA from 1 species
GUAGAAACAGAACUCGGAACCCUGGGGUCACUGGGCACCACAGUCCAGCGACAGCUGCCUAACAGCCACUUGGCUGGAGAGAGUCAGCAGUGAUCAUGCUGUGCUGCUUUCCCAGACCUCGAGGCCGCAGCAGCAGGACCCUGCACAGGGAAAGCACUUGGGCGUGAGUGAGAGGAUGGAUGGCUAAGUCCCCAUGCUUCAGGCCACUCACCAAGAACUGCCUGGCCUUCAGGGGCAGCACAGGGUGGGUCUCACCAGACCCAGAGACCUGGGGACCUGAGAUGAGCGGGAGCCCAGGGCAGAUCUCCCUGGACCUGGACACCAGACACUCGGGGCCACCGAGUCCAGGACAGGUCCAGUCAGGCCCGGCCACCAUUGCCCUCCACUUCUUGGUGGAGCUACACUUCCAGGUGAAUCCACCAGCUGAACUCCUGGCCCAACUGGAGCAAGCUUAGCCCACUGAGGCACAGCCCACGGGACCAGCUCGAGCCCCAGCUGAAGUCCCAUGUGUGGAGCCCGAGCCAGCUCCACCUACAGCUUCCUGCCCAGCGCUGGGACCACAGCCAGAGUCUGUGGAAGCCUCUUCACCUGCUGCAGUGCUGGGGCACCAGGUGGUUGCACGGUGGUGGGUGUCACCUCCUGAGCUCUGCCUGGGGCCAGCUCCUGGCUCCUUCCCACUGUUCCCCUCACUCACGCUGGCUCUUGGUUUGGUAUUUACACUUGCCCUUAUUCCUUGGAUUUAUAUAAAUAAUAGAACUAGCUUUUAAUAAAACUUAAACUUUUAGUGUUUAAAAGGG